AGAGUGUUGGCUGCCGUUCACAAUUCACAAGAUUUCGCUGACGCUUUUAAUUGUCCUCUUAACAGCCCAAUGAAUCCCUACGAGAAGUGCGAGAUUUGGUGAUCAUGAAGGGCGGUUCUAGUUUUGCUAUUUAAUGAAGUGGUUAAUAUUUUCUUAGUUGUUGAUGUUCUUAAAUUUACUCGUUUGAAACUAAAAGUUGGCAGUCUCUUUACAACUUUACAAAAAUAUACCAUUCAGUUGUCAUACAUGUCCUUUAUCACUUGUGUGACAUAAGUUUUAUAACUGCUUGUGCAAUUUUCUGCAGUCUAAAGUUUCAUGUUGUCUGCACAUGUAGGAGACACAAUUUAUAUGACUUAUUUAUAUAUUGUAUUGGC